rnacentral:rRNA from 1 species
GACGAACGCUGGCGGCGUGCCUAAUACAUGCAAGUCGAGCGAGCGGAACUAACAGAUUUACUUCGGUAAUGACGUUAGGAAAGCGAGCGGCGGAUGGGUGAGUAACACGUGGGGAACCUGCCCCAUAGUCUGGGAUACCACUUGGAAACAGGUGCUAGUACCGGAUAAGAAAGCAGAUCGCAUGAUCAGCUUUUAAAAGGCGGCGUAAGCUGUCGCUAUGGGAUGGCCCCGCGGUGCAUUAGCUAGUUGGUAAGGUAAAGGCUUACCAAGGCGAUGAUGCAUAGCCGAGUUGAGAGACUGAUCGGCCACAUUGGGACUGAGACACGGCCCAAACUCCUACGGGAGGCAGCAGUAGGGAAUCUUCCACAAUGGACGCAAGUCUGAUGGAGCAACGCCGCGUGAGUGAAGAAGGUGUUCGGAUCGUAAAGCUCUGUUGUUGGUGAAGAAGGAUAGAGGUAGUAACUGGCCUUUAUUUGACGGUAAUCAACCAGAAAGUCACGGCUAACUACGUG